rnacentral:lncRNA from 1 species
CGGGUUUAUAUAACAUUCAUUGCAACCAACAACAAUUACAUGAACGAGCUAGGCAAGCAAAAGUGUAAGUCAAUUUGGACCUGUUUAUACAAAAAUCAUCGCAACCAAUAACAUAAAAUUUGUUCAUACAACGUUCACCCCUUUGAAGCACCGUACGUGAACUCCAAGUUGUGAUGCAGUGACCGUGGAGGGGGUUGAGGCAUCUUCAUCCACUGUCAUCUGCACUUCAAUAACCAAAAAUGAUAUAAUGAGAUCAAAGUUAUCAUGGAAGUUAAUUUGGUAAACGCAAAUAUACAGCACUUCCGAUAAUAACACUCAACUAAACAAAUAACGACACGAUGGUGCUCUUACAUACAUAAAGAAGAAAAAACCUCAGCAAACUAUAAAUUACUCCACAAGACUGCUGUGACACCCCGAACUUACGCUUCGAGGGUCACGUACUAAACAUAAUAACUUCUGCCUUUGGUACAUGUAAAUACUCUUAAAUAGAAGUGUUACAUGUGAAAAACUUAUUUUCAACUUGGUAAAAUAAUUCUUAUAAAAUUUUAAUGGCCGAUAAAAGUGCAUGUCGACAAGGAAUUAUGCUUCACAUAUAUGGCCUCGGCACUGUCAAGAUUAGUUGGGGCAGCAGGUUUGACAAUUUUUAUAAGAUUCAUCCCAACUCCGUUUUCUAUGAAAUUUGUGGCAUUAGAAAGAUAAUUUCAAGUAGUUUUCUAGGUUAAAAUAUGAAAAUUUUCCAAGAUCAUAUGAUAUAGACGUUUUACUGAAAACAGUGAAGUAUUACACAGGAGAUCCAGAUUGACCUUUGGACGUUAAAACCUUGAUAACUCACGCCAUAGAUAUCGAAAUUGAGUGAUUCCUUCGGCCAUAUUUAGAAAACUCAAAGAGGAAAACAGACAUAUUUUUAGAGUCUCAAAUGGACGUUUAUAGAGUUAGUAAAAUCGUUUCGAAAUUGACUCCAGAAACUGUCCCGUUUCUGCCUUUUAUCACUUGCAAGGAAAAUAAACUAUAAAAAUGUCUCUUAACAUAACAUGAAAGAUAUAAUUACAAAAUUUACUAUUAAUACCAUAAUACAUCAUGUCAUGUUCAUAUUUUUACAUAAUACCAUAAAAAAAUAGAUGGAAAAACUGUCAUCGAACAAAACACACAAAAGAAAACUUUCGGUACAAAACUUCGUUGUCCGUAAUCCAUCAUCGCGUAAGCCAACUAACUUCCAUCAAUUCAAAUGAUCAUGGAUCUGAAAAUUUAGCAUAACGUACUAUGAGUAUAAGAAAUACUCAGUAAGAUAUCAUUCUUGGAUUUUUAUCAUGAUAAUACCACACAAAAGAAUACAAUCAAACCCAUACUUGCAUAUUCUAGCUUGCCGGUGUCCUUCGGACUUGUCCUAAGGCAUAAAUAGAUAUCUAACUUUGUGGACUUUUCCACCAUAAUCAUAUUAUGGUUUUUCAUGCAUAACUUAAGCAUAAAUAUUACCAUGAAAAUCAUAACUCUUAAGCAUGAAAGUAUCUUACCGUAAAAUUUGAAGAUCUUCGAUUGAAAUGUAAAUUGGAAGUGCUAGGUUUACUUCCUUCCCUUUCCUUUCUUAUUUUC